rnacentral:rRNA from 1 species
AGUGAACGCUGGCGGUAGGCCUAACACAUGCAAGUCGAACGGCAGCACAGUAAGAGCUUGCUCUUACGGGUGGCGAGUGGCGGACGGGUGAGGAAUACAUCGGAAUCUACUUUUUCGUGGGGGAUAACGUAGGGAAACUUACGCUAAUACAGCAUAUGACCUACGGGUGAAAGCAGGGGAUCUUCGGACCUUGCGCGAUUGAAUGAGCCGAUGUCGGAUUAGCUAGUUGGCGGGGUAAAGGCCCACCAAGGCGACGAUCCGUAGCUGGUCUGAGAGGAUGAUCAGCCACACUGGAACUGAGACACGGUCCAGACUCCUACGGGAGGCAGCAGUGGGGAAUAUUGGACAAUGGGCGCAAGCCUGAUCCAGCCAUACCGCGUGGGUGAAGAAGGCCUUCGGGUUGUAAAGCCCUUUUGUUGGGAAAGAAAAGCAGCAGGUUAAUACCCCGCUGUUCUGACGGUACCCAAAGAAUAAGCACCGGCUAACUUCGUG